rnacentral:rRNA from 1 species
GCUUAACACAUGCAAGUCGAGCGGUAAGGCUCCUUCGGGAGUACACGAGCGGCGAACGGGUGAGUAACACGUGAGCAACCUGCCCUUCUCAUCGGAAUAAGCGUUGGAAACGACGUCUAAUGCCGAAUACGACCUCAGGAGGCAUCUUCAGAGGUGGAAAGCUCCUGCGGAGAAGGAUGGGCUCGCGGCCUAUCAUCUUGUUGGUGGGGUAACGGCCCACCAAGGCGACGACGGGUAGCCGGCCUGAGAGGGUGACCGGCCACACUGGGACUGAGACACGGCCCAGACUCCUACGGGAGGCAGCAGUGGGGAAUAUUGGACAAUGGGCGAAAGCCUGAUCCAGCAACGCCGCGUGAGGGAUGACGGCCUUCGGGUUGUAAACCUCUUUCAGCACCGACGAAGCGAAAGUGACGGUAGGUGCAGAAGAAGGACCGGCCAACUACGUGCCAGCAGCCGCGGUAAUACGUAGGGUCCGAGCGUUGUCCGGAAUUAUUGGGCGUAAAGGGCUCGUAGGCGGUUUGUCGCGUCGGGAGUGAAAACUCAGGGCUCAACCCUGAGCGUGCUUCCGAUACGGGCAGACUAGAGGUAUGCAGGGGAGAACGGAAUUCCUGGUGUAGCGGUGGAAUGCGCAGAUAUCAGGAGGAACACCGGUGGCGAAGGCGGUUCUCUGGGCAUUACCUGACGCUGAGGAGCGAAAGCAU